AGAACGAACGCUGGCGGCAGGCUUAACACAUGCAAGUCGAGCGCCCCGCAAGGGGAGCGGCAGACGGGUGAGUAACGCGUGGGAACAUACCCUCCGGUUCGGAAUAGCUCAGGGAAACUUGGAUUAAUACCGGAUACGGCCUAGCGGCGAAAGAUUCAUCGCCGGAGGAUUGGCCCGCGUUCGAUUAGCUAGUUGGUGAGGUAACGGCUCACCAAGGCGACGAUCGAUAGCUGGUCUGAGAGGAUGAUCAGCCACAUUGGGACUGAGACACGGCCCAAACUCCUACGGGAGGCAGCAGUGGGGAAUAUUGGACAAUGGGCGCAAGCCUGAUCCAGCCAUGCCGCGUGAGUGAUGACGGCCUUAGGGUUGUAAAGCUCUGUGGGGAGGGAAGAAAAGUAUGUGGCUAAUAUCCACGUACCCUGACGGUACCUCCUUAGCAAGCACCGGCUAACUCCGUGCCAGCAGCCGC
rnacentral:rRNA from 1 species